AUUUAUUAGCCAUUCCAGUAUCUACUGUUGCAUCCGAGUCAGCAUUUAGUACAAGUGGUAGAUUUGUGAGCCCACAUAGAAAUAGGCUUCACCCGAAGACUUUAGAAGCUUUAAUGUGUGCUCGAGAUUGGCUUUGGUCUGAUAUUCAUGAAAAUUCUGCUCCUUCAUCAUAUUCCGGAGCUUGUGCAAAGUUUGAUGACGAGGAUGUUGACGAAGAGGAAUCAACUUUGAGUUUUGACGGAUGCCAGUAAGAGUUGUGGAGAAGAAUGAAGAUUGAAUAUGAAUUGAGGUUGGAGCUUUUUGAGUUAUUGAAUAUUGUUUGUUAAAUUUGGA